rnacentral:rRNA from 1 species
AGUGAACGCUGGCGGCGUGCUUAACACAUGCAAGUCGAACGAGAACGGGAUUAGCUUGCUAAUCUGUCAGCUAAGUGGCGCACGGGUGAGUAAUAUAUAGGUAACGUGCCUUCAAGAGGGGGAUAACAGAUGGAAACGUCUGCUAAAACCCCAUAUGCCUUUAAUGCGAAAGUAUGCAAGGGAAAUAUUUAUAGCUUGAAGAUCGGCCUGUACAGUAUCAGAUAGUUGGUGAGGUAAUAGCUCACCAAGUCAAUGACGCUUAACUGGUUUGAGAGGAUGAUCAGUCACACUGGAACUGAGACACGGUCCAGACUCCUACGGGAGGCAGCAGUGGGGAAUAUUGCACAAUGGGGGAAACCCUGAUGCAGCAACGCCGCGUGGAGGAUGACACAUUUCGGUGCGUAAACUCCUUUUAUAUAAGAAGAUAAUGACGGUAUUAUAUGAAUAAGCACCGGCUAACUCCGUG